GCAAAUACACGCUCAGAAACGCACUUCCCCCGAGCAGGCCUCCCUGCAAAUUUGGCAGUUUAAAUAGAAUAACUUUUUGAAA